rnacentral:rRNA from 1 species
CCCCGGUAAACGGCGGCCGUAACUAUAACGGUCCUAAGGUAGCGAAAUUCCUUGUCGGGUAAGUUCCGACCUGCACGAAUGGCGUAAUGAUGGCCAGGCUGUCUCCACCCGAGACUCAGUGAAAUUGAACUCGCUGUGAAGAUGCAGUGUACCCGCGGCAAGACGGAAAGACCCCGUGAACCUUUACUAUAGCUUGACACUGAACAUUGAGCCUUGAUGUGUAGGAUAGGUGGGAGGCUUUGAAGUGUGGACGCCAGUCUGCAUGGAGCCGACCUUGAAAUACCACCCUUUAAUGUUUGAUGUUCUAACGUGGACCCGUAAUCCGGGUUGCGGACAGUGUCUGGUGGGUAGUUUGACUGGGGCGGUCUCCUCCUAAAGAGUAACGGAGGAGCACGAAGGUUGGCUAAUCCUGGUCGGACAUCAGGAGGUUAGUGCAAUGGCAUAAGCCAGCUUGACUGCGAGCGUGACGGCGCGAGCAGGUGCGAAAGCAGGUCAUAGUGAUCCGGUGGUUCUGAAUGGAAGGGCCAUCGCUCAACGGAUAAAAGGUACUCCGGGGAUAACAGGCUGAUACCGCCCAAGAGUUCAUAUCGACGGCGGUGUUUGGCACCUCGAUGUCGGCUCAUCACAUCCUGGGGCUGAAGUAGGUCCCAAGGGUAUGGCUGUUCGCCAUUUAAAGUGGUACGCGAGCUGGGUUUAGAACGUCGUGAGACAGUUCGGUCCCUAUCUGCCGUGGGCGCUGGAGAACUGAGGGGGGCUGCUCCUAGUACGAGAGGACCGGAGUGGACGCAUCACUGGUGUUCGGGUUGUCAUGCCAAUGGCACUGCCCGGUAGCUAAAUGCGGAAGAGAUAAGUGCUGAAAGCAUCUAAGCACGAAACUUGCCCCGAGAUGAGUUCUCCCUGAGACUUAGAGUCUCCUGAAGGAACGUUGAAGACGACGACGUUGAUAGGCCGGGUGUGUAAGCGCA